rnacentral:sRNA from 1 species
AAUAAGUCCAUGACUACAAAGGUAGGACUUGUUCCUUACCUUAGCAUCUAGGGAAGUCCCUGGACCUUGAGCACAGUGCCCUGUGCACAUGUAUGCAGACCUUCUCGCCUCUCGCUGUGCUCCACCUAGACCUCCCACCUAGCUUGGGGGAACCAAGAGACAUGAUGGCUGCGCUGCGUGUCAGCUGGACUAGUGUUACACACAUGCAGUGUACUUUUUCUUUUUUUAAGGUCAUUUUAUUGGGCUGGCUCUAACAAUCCAUACAUCA